GAUGAAGAACGUAGUGAAACGCGAUAUGUAAUGUGAAUUGCAGAAUUCAGUGAAUCAUCGAAUCUUUGAACGCACAUGGCGACUUCCAGUAUCCUGGGAGGCAUGCCUGUCCGAGCGUCGUUUCAACCCUCGAGCCCCCGUGGCCCGGCGUUGGGGAUCUGCCACGGCAGGCCCCUAAAACCAGUGGCGGACCCGAAGGCCCUCUCCUUUGCGCAGUAGCAUCAGCCUCGCAUUGGGAUCCCUCGGCGUCCUGCCUCUAAACCCCCCACAAGUCCGCUCCGGCGGCACCAAGGUUGACCUCGGAUCAGGUAGGAAUACCCGCUGAACUUAAGCAUAUCAAUAAGCGGAGGA
rnacentral:misc_RNA from 1 species